GAUACUUUCCAAUAAAAUUCCACAGAUGAGACCCUGAGUCAUGGUUUCUUUUAAACACUGCUACUACCAAUGUAUUAUCCUAAAAUAAACAUACAUGCUUUAUAUACAUUUCCAUACAUUUCAUUCAAUUAUUGUUAAAUUAAUAUUUACUGAAUAAGCCAUGUACUCGGCACAUUCUGUGAAAGUUAAUUUAACAAUAGAUUCGGUGGAAUGCUUGUAAGGAAUUUCAUCAAGAGGUUCCAGAGUGAUAGGAUGCAGUAACCAAAGUGUUCCAUUAUCAAGGCCACAUGCUAGUUCAUCACCUGUGUAUAUUUUAUAUUGAAGUAUUGUUACAUGUAUUAAAGUAAAUAGUUACUGAAUAAUCUUAUAUAUCCAGGAAUGAUAAGAUGCUUGCCUAUCGGUGAAUAUUUUAACACGGAAAUCGCAGAUUGUCUAUCGGGGCUUUGAGCACAGGUGACGUAAAUGAUAUUACCAUCUUUUAUUUGGUCAUCUAAUACCAAACUGACUAUAUAAUGACUUACGACAAGAAGUUAAUAUUAGAGGAUUUUGAAGAAAUUAUGGUCUCAUUGAAAAGGAAAGAAGGAUAUAGGUGUAACAGGUACCUUCGAGGAUGCGCGUCUAAACUGGUAACCGAUGCGUUCACAUCGUGUGAGUAAAAUCGACACUUCAACGUUGGAAUUUCCAUUAAUGCAAUUGCUCCAGUUGAGUCAGAUGUGCUGAUGGUAGAUACAGGACCCAACAACGUAGAUCGGAGAUCAAAACUAAUCGAUCGUAUAGAAUCCAGACCGCACUUAUCACACCAAUAAAGAAUCUUCAACUGAAGAUCGUAGAAGUUAAUUCGACCCUCCGAAGUUCCCGUCACUAUCAUUCUAAAAUCAUAAGUUCGAUAAAUAUUAUCGUAUAUAUAACUUCUUAUAUGUAUUAUAUUAACUGAAUCAAGUUCAAUAAUUACCCAUUAUGUUGCAGUAUUACAGUAAUGCUGCAUUUUUGCGUCCGUAUAGAUCUGAUAUGUUUCAUUUCUCCACCUCUAACAUUACUUCGUCCUUUCUCCAAAACUGCAUUCCAAACCAAAAUGUAUCCUCCAAAAAGGAACAAAAUAAUUAAAUUUUAAUUAUCUUAAAUUUAUUAAAUUUAAAUAUUUAAAUGGAUGUUUCACAAUACCGUUUGUCGUUGCUGUUAAUGCCCGAUUUGUUCCCGACACGUAACAGGAAGUAUUGAAGAUCCCGUAGCGUCGAGUGUUGCCACAAAUUUUUGGGUAAUUGCACUUCAAUUCGUCAUGUUGCUAAUUAAUCACAAAAAUUUGUAAUUAUUUUUACGAGGUAAAUAUCUGAUAUUAAAAUUUUAAUCGAAACAAUGAAGUGAAAUAACUAUAUAUUUAUAAAGGGUUUUAGGAUUCUGUUUUUAAAUACAAACCCAAAUAAAAAAUAUGACAUUAUGAUCGGCGGUCAAAGCAAAUGCCUCUGGAAAAUCUUCGUUGAAAGUUAUUUCUUUCACCCGAUCCGAAGUAAUUGCAUUCAGCUCUACGGUUGCUAUACAUUUUUUAAACAUUAUUAACAUCGCAGAAAUAUAAACGUGUAAUUUUUAAAUGAAUAUAGGAAAAAGUUCUACUGUAUUAUAUAUCCUAGGAUAAAGCUUUUAUUUAUUUCUAUAUCUUCUGUAUUA